GGAUCGCGGCGGGGCCGCCUCAAGUGUCCGCCGCUCAUCUGCCCCCGCUCCGGGGGA
rnacentral:antisense_RNA from 19 species